rnacentral:lncRNA from 1 species
CCGAAGAUGAAAAAUCGCCAAUGCCGGUGCCGACUGAACCUGUGAAUUCGACACUCACACAACUGACCGACUAAAAUUGAUAGCUCCGACCAGCACCUCCAACACAAACGACGAUGCCACAGGAAAGCGCACUUCUACAACUGCCUGAUCACCGCGAAAUAACCUCCGACAACAGCCACAAAAACACCCACGUAACCCACAUCCACCACUACAACCACCGACGACUACCGAGACCAUCCACUGCUACACACAACGGAACCGGGUAUCAACAUAUUCUUGUUCGACAGGACUCAAUGGAGGAACGGCAAACGAAAAAGGUGUGUUGAGAAGAAGAAAAGAAAAAAUACCAAGCUCUAAAAAAAACGCUCUGAUACCAUGUUUGAAUUAGAGUUUGGUAUGAAACUUUGAGAAAAAGGUUAAUUACCUUCCUCUCCUCUUCAUUCAUUAUAUAGAAAAAAUAAGAGUACAUAUAUGGAAACAUGACAAUUACGGGAAAACAAUAAACGGUAGUUAUACUCUUACUUAAUUU